rnacentral:piRNA from 1 species
GCUGAACACGUACUUGUCUGACCUU